rnacentral:rRNA from 1 species
UACGUAGGGUGCGAGCGUUGUCCGGAAUUAUUGGGCGUAAAGGGCUCGUAGGCGGUCUGUCGCGUCGGGAGUGAAAACUCAGGGCUUAACCCUGAGCCUGCUUCCGAUACGGGCAGACUAGAGGUAUGCAGGGGAGAACGAAUUCCUGGUGUAGCGGUGAAAUGCGCAGAUAUCAGGAGGAACACCGGUGGCGAAGGCGGAUCUCUGGGCCUUACCUGACGCUGAGGCGCGAAAGCUAGGGGAGCGAACAGG